GAUGAACGCUGGCGGCGUGCCUAAUACAUGCAAGUCGAGCGAACAGACGAGGAGCUUGCUCCUCCGACGUUCGCGGCGGACGGGUGAGUCACACGUGGAUAACCUACCUAUAAGACUGGGAUAACUUCGGGAAACCGGAGCUUAUACCGGAUAAUAUAUUGAACCGCAUGCUUCAAUAGUGAAAUACGCUUUUGCUGUCACUUAUAGAUGGAUCCGCGCCGCAUUAGCUAGUUGGUUAGGGAACGGCUUAACAAGGCUACGAUGCGUAGCCGACCUCAGAGGGUGAACGGCCACACUGUGACUGAGACAGGGUCCACACUCCUCCAAGAGGGAGCAGUCGGGACUCGUACGAAAUGUGCGAAAGCCGGACAGAGCAACGCCGCGUGAAUGAUGAAGGUCUUCAGAACGUAAAACUAUGUAAUUAGGGAGAAAGAAGUGUGUGUGUGAAUAAGGAGGUCUUGACGGUACCUCAUCAAGAAGCCACGGCUAACUACGUG
rnacentral:rRNA from 1 species